rnacentral:rRNA from 2 species
UGGGGAAUAUUGGACAAUGGGCGCAAGCCUGAUCCAGCCAUGCCGCGUGAGUGAUGAAGGCCCUAGGGUUGUAAAGCUCUUUCACCGGUGAAGAUAAUGACGGUAACCGGAGAAGAAGCCCCGGCUAACUUCGUGCCAGCAGCCGCGGUAAUACGAAGGGGGCUAGCGUUGUUCGGAUUUACUGGGCGUAAAGCGCACGUAGGCGGACUUUUAAGUCAGGGGUGAAAUCCCGGGGCUCAACCCCGGAACUGCCUUUGAUACUGGAAGUCUUGAGUAUGGUAGAGGUGAGUGGAAUUCCGAGUGUAGAGGUGAGAUUCGUAGAUAUUCGGAGGAACACCAGUGGCGAAGGCGGCUCACUGGACCAUUACUGACGCUGAGGUGCGAAAGCGUGGGGAGCAAACAGG